GACGAACGCUGGCGGCGUGCUUAACACAUGCAAGUCGAACGGAAAGGCCCUGCUUUUGUGGGGUGCUCGAGUGGCGAACGGGUGAGUAACACGUGAGUAACCUGCCCUUGACUUUGGGAUAACUUCAGGAAACUGGGGCUAAUACCGGAUAGGAGCUCCUGCUGCAUGGUGGGGGUUGGAAAGUUUCGGCGGUUGGGGAUGGACUCGCGGCUUAUCAGCUUGUUGGUGGGGUAGUGGCUUACCAAGGCUUUGACGGGUAGCCGGCCUGAGAGGGUGACCGGCCACAUUGGGACUGAGAUACGGCCCAGACUCCUACGGGAGGCAGCAGUGGGGAAUAUUGCACAAUGGGCGGAAGCCUGAUGCAGCAACGCCGCGUGCGGGGUGACGGCCUUCGGGUUGUAAACCGCUUUCGCCUGUGACGAAGCGUGAGUGACGGUAAUGGGUAAAGAAGCACCGGCUAACUACGUGCCAGCAGCCGCGGUGAUACGUAGGGUGCGAGCGUUGUCCGGAUUUAUUGGGCGUAAAGGGCUCGUAGGUGGUUGAUCGCGUCGGAAGUGUAAUCUUGGGGCUUAACCCUGAGCGUGCUUUCGAUACGGGUUGACUUGAGGAAGGUAGGGGAGAAUGGAAUUCCUGGUGGAGCGGUGGAAUGCGCAGAUAUCAGGAGGAACACCAGUGGCGAAGGCGGUUCUCUGGGCCUUUCCUGACGCUGAGGAGCGAAAGCGUGGGGAGCGAACAGGCUUAGAUACCCUGGUAGUCCACGCUGUAAACGGUGGGUACUAGGUGUGGGGUCCAUUCCACGGGUUCCGUGCCGUAGCUAACGCUUUAAGUACCCCGCCUGGGGAGUACGGCCGCAAGGCUAAAACUCAAAGGAAUUGACGGGGCCCCGCACAAGCGGCGGAGCAUGCGGAUUAAUUCGAUGCAACGCGUAGAACCUUACCUGGGUUUGACAUGGAUCGGGAGUGCUCAGAGAUGGGUGUGCCUCUUUUGGGGUCGGUUCACAGGUGGUGCAUGGCUGUCGUCAGCUCGUGUCGUGAGAUGUUGGGUUAAGUCCCGCAACGAGCGCAACCCUUGUUCACUGUUGCCAGCACGUUAUGGUGGGGACUCAGUGGAGACCACCGGGGUCAACUCGGAGGAAGGUGGGGAUGACGUCAAGUCAUCAUGCCCCUUAUGUCCAGGGCUUCACGCAUGCUACAAUGGCUGGUACAGAGAGUGGCGAGCCUGUGAGGGUGAGCGAAUCUCGGAAAGCCGGUCUCAGUUCGGAUUGGGGUCUGCAACUCGACCUCAUGAAGUCGGAGUCGCUAGUAAUCGCAGAUCAGCAACGCUGCGGUGAAUACGUUCCCGGG
rnacentral:rRNA from 1 species